GACGAACGCUGGCGGCGUGCCUAACACAUGCAAGUCGAACGGAGAUAUGAUUUCGGUUAUAUCUUAGUGGCGAACGGGUGAGUAACGCGUGAGCAACCUGACUCUUAGAGGGGGAUAACACCCGGAAACGAGUGCUAAUACCGCAUAAGACCACGACAUGGCAUCAUGACGAGGUCAAAGGAGCAAUCCGCUGAGAGAGGGGCUCGCGUCCCAUUAGAUAGAUGGCGGGGUAACGGCCCACCAUGUCAGCGAUGGGUAGCCGAGCUGAGAGGGUGAUCGGCCACACUGGAACUGAGACACGUUCCAGACUCCUACGUGAGGCAGCAGUGGGGAAUAUUGGGCAAUGGGCGCAAGCCUGACCCAGCAACGCCGCGUGAGGGAAGAAGGCUUUCGGGUUGUAAACCUCUGUCCUUGGUGACGAAACAAAUGACGGUAGCCAAGGAGGAAGCCCCGGCUAACUACGUGCCAGCCGCCGCGGUAA
rnacentral:rRNA from 1 species